rnacentral:tRNA from 1 species
GCCGAAAAAGCUCAGCUGGGAGAGCGUUAGACUGAAGAUCUAAAGGUCCUUGGUUUGAUCCCAGGUUUUGGCA